rnacentral:rRNA from 1 species
GAUGAGCCAAGAUUGGUGCCCUUUAAGGCACUAAGCAAUAUUAAACUGAAGAGUUUGAUCAUGGCUCAGAUUGAACGCUGGCGGCAGGCUUAACACAUGCAAGUCGAGCGGGGAAAUGUAGCUUGCUACAUUACCUAGCGGCGGACGGGUGAGUAAUGCUUAGG